rnacentral:rRNA from 1 species
AUUGAACGCUGGCGGCAUGCCUAACACAUGCAAGUCGAACGGCAGCACAGAGGAGCUUGCUCCUUGGGUGGCGAGUGGCGGACGGGUGAGUAAUGCAUCGGGAUCUACCCUGACGUGGGGGAUAACCUCGGGAAACCGGGACUAAUACCGCAUACGUCCUACGGGAGAAAGCGGGGGACCUUCGGGCCUCGCGCGGCAGGACGAACCGAUGUGCGAUUAGCUAGUUGGCGGGGUAAUGGCCCACCAAGGCGACGAUCGCUAGCUGGUCUGAGAGGAUGAUCAGCCACACUGGGACUGAGACACGGCCCAGACUCCUACGGGAGGCAGCAAUGGGGAAUAUUGGACAAUGGGCGCAAGCCUGAUCCAGCAAUGCCGCGUGUGUGAAGAAGGCCUUCGGGUUGUAAAGCACUUUUAUCAGGAGCGAAAUACCACGGGUUAAUACCCUAUGGGGCUGACGGUACCUGAGGAAUAAGCACCGGCUAACUUCGUGCCAGCAGCCGCUGUAAUACGAAGGGUGCAAGCGUUAAUCGGAAUUACUGGGCGUAAAGGGUGCGUAGGCGGUUACUUAAGUCUGUCGUGAAAUCCCCGGGCUCAACCUGGGAAUGGCGAUGGAUACUGGGUGGCUAGAGUGUGUCAGAGGAUGGUGGAAUUCCCGGUGUAGCAGUGAAAUGCGUAGAGAUCGGGAGGAACAUCAGUGGCGAAGGCGGCCAUCUGGGACAACACUGACGCUGAAGCACGAAAGCGUGGGGAGCAAACAGGAUUAGAUACCCUGGUAGUCCACGCCCUAAACGAUGCGAAUUGGAUGUUGGUCUCAACUCGGAGAUCAGUGUCGAAGCUAACGCGUUAAGU